GACGAACGCUGGCGGCGUGCUUAACACAUGCAAGUCGAACGAGACGAUUGAAAGCUUGCUUUUGAAAGUCGAGUGGCAAACGGGUGAGUAACGCGUAGACAACCUGCCGUAAAGAUGGGGACAACAGUUCGAAAGGACUGCUAAUACCGCAUAAGCCCACGGCCCGGCAUCGGGUUGAGGGAAAAGGAUUUAUUCGCUUCAGGAUGGACUCGCGUCCAAUUAGCUAGUUGGUGAGGUAACGGCCCACCAAGGCGACGAUUGGUAGCCGGACUGAGAGGUUGAACGGCCACAUUGGGACUGAGACACGGCCCAG
rnacentral:rRNA from 1 species